GUGUCAUCAUGACAAACAACUGACAUAGCUGAGGCCCGUUGAAGUCCCAGAGCAACCUUGGUCCUGUAGUCAGAGAUGACUUGUGAAAAUAAAUGCAUCUGGCUCAUUGACUUGAGUUCUUGUACCCAAACUGGAAAGAUUCAGAGCCAGGGUUGAGUCCUCCUUACAGGGCGAGUUCUCUGACAAGGAAGUUUUGCAACCUAAUUUACAGCUGGAGCCAAGCUUGUCAGUGAGUGCCAGAGGGAAACUGUCGCAAUCGGCUGGCUAAGUAUAUUCAUUUAACAAGGGAAGUCUCCGAGGAGCUAUCAAAAACUGCUUGUCAUCUUUCCAAAUCAUCUCUGUCUGCAGUGGCCAUGUCUUAAUCCUGAAGGACAACAAGGCAAAACACUUUAUACUCUUGACAAACAAAAGUGCUAGAUUGUAGGAUCUAAGGAUGAGUCGGGGGAGCUGUGGAUACCACCGAUACCUGGAAAAUGUGUGUGAAUUAAUGAAAAGACACAGGAAAAGUAAAGAUCUGACAACCAAGGGGAUAAAUGAACAGCUCAGCACCAUCCUGGAGGGGCUCACUCAGCAGAGAGGAGGAACAAUCACUCCUAGGAUACUCUCUCAUCUGGGAUACCUUACAAUGUGUCAGAGCACCCCUGAACCCAAGG